CUAAAAUGGUGAUGGUUACUC
rnacentral:siRNA from 1 species